GACGUAGGUUGCGAGCGUUUAUUCGGAUUCACUAGGCGUAAAGCGUGUGUAGGCGGAUGCCUAAGUCUGACGUGAAAUCUCCUGGCUUAACUGGGAGGGGUCGUUAGAUACUGGGCGUCUUGAGUUGGGUAGGGGGGAACCGGAAUUCCAGGUGUAGCGGUGAAAUGCGCAGAUAUCUGGAGGAACACCGGCGGCGAAGGCGGGUUCCUGGGCCUUAACUGACGCUGAGACACGAAAGCUAGGGGAGCAAACAGG
rnacentral:rRNA from 1 species